UCGUGUAUUGUGUUUUCGACCUACUUACAAUUUAUCAAUAUUUCCCCUUUAAUAUGUUUGAACAUAUACAUGCCUAAUAUUUUUUAGAGUCACUAGUAUACUUGUACAUUAAAUAAUUGUAUCUAAAAUAUAUUUCGAUCUUAAAUAUUUUUUUUAUUUCAGUUCAUUAGAUCGAUGGCACCUUUGUUGACAAAAACUAGCGUCUUGUGUUUUCGACCUAUCUAAGAAACGGGUCCAAAGUCGGAAAUGACAUGUCGUACAAAUCCGGAAUUGGUUAUAAUUUGAUGCCAAUGUUUAUAUCAAAUUAUUCAAAGUUUUAGAGGCGAUCAAACUUAUGAUUUAAUGAAUUAAAUGGUGACAUAUACAACUAUAAGAUAUAAAAUAUUAUUUUGAUAUCUUUAUUUGACUAGUUGUACACAUUUCACAUGAGGACCUUGUAUACAGUCAUGUUUCUGUUCAAUAUACUUCAGUGAAGGCAUUAUAAAGUGAGGUUGGUGAGUAUUGUCUGUAAUCUCCCCUGACAGACUGCUGUUUCUGUGAAUUAAAAUUAAUUGAUAUUUUAUUUUUUUCAGCAAAAAACUGUAAGAAUCAUCCACAUUUCCGUAUUAAAAAUAACUUUUAAGUAUAUCACCUAACCACAUGACAGUCAUGUGACGUAAUGACCUUGAUGUUAACUUCACAUGCUAAAAGUCCUCGGCCAUAUUUCUAGAAUAUUUGUUUAUUUUUGAUAGAUUCUUGUGGAAGGUAAAAAAAGUAUUAGUGAAAAGGUACAAAAAUGUGAUAUCAAAUAAAAUAACGUAAAUACUUAAUUAUAAUAACUUUACUUGAAACAUCUUCACCACACGUGGUAUUAUUUGCUAUUGUUACUAAAUAUAGCAGCCAAAUGUGACGUCACACGGGCAUGCGCAGCAUACGGGAAGUGAAAGUAGAAUUAGGUCGAAAACGUACGUAAGACGGUCUAAAACACAAUACGAGACGAUAUGUCUCUGGUAAAAGAAACAUCAGUAUUUGAUUAUUACUGCUAUGAAUGAUAAAGUUCCUGUUUUGAAAAUGAAAAAACAUCAUACGUAUACUAUAUUUUGGGCUACCAAGAAUUGAGUUGAAGUGCUAUAAUGGAAAAGCAAACAGAAAAUCUGGUGAUUGAAAUAAAAACUGAGCCUUCAGAUAACUAUUAUGAUAACAAAAAUGAAAACUGUAAUAUUGGUCACUACAGCAGUCAUGGCAAUAAGCCAUCAGAUAUUGAUAAUUUACAACUUGAAGAAACUUCACUGACUGUCCCUAACAUAAAAACUGGAACAAAACUAGAGGAUGCAGUAGAAGGCAGUCCAUUCAGAUUAAGUGGUAGAGCUUCAUUUUUGUAUCAGAAAUCAUCAGGAGAUCUAAAUUUAAAUAUAUGUGGUAAAGAAAAAGAUACGAAAAAGUCAUCAAAUGAGGUAGAAUGUCCAAAGUUUAUAGAGGAUACUGCUAAAGUUAAAAUGAUAUCAUCAGAACAGGAAGAAAUUGUUAUAGAACAUGUUGAAAAAGGUAUAAUGGACAAGUUGAAAAUUUUGAAAGAAGACAACAAAUCAAAAGAAAGAAAGGCUGACAUGCCUCAAAGUGUUAUAGAUUUUCCAAGAUCAAGCGAGCCUUCAGGGAUAGAAAAUCCAAAUGUAAACUCAAGAGCUUUGCUGCAAUAUGGAUCUGAUUUAACAGAAACCAAAAUAAAAAGACUAGAUGAAAUAAUUUCAGAAGUACGUCAAAAUCUUGAACUUGAUCCAAAAUUUCCAAAAGACCAACUGCCAAAAGCUUCAAAAAUAAGUAUUGAGAUUAAGUCUAGUUCUAAUCAAAGUUUAGAUGAAAGUUAUUCCUCUGAAGAUGAAAAGAGUGAAAAGUUUUCAAAUUUGAAAAAUGUCAUGGAGAAAAUGACAAAAGAAAACCUUCCCAGAAAACCUGGAAAGAAAGGUUCCAUUUGGAGUGACGAUGUGUUUGGACAGCCAGGAGAAAAUCGCUAUAUUUGUCCUUCUUGUGGUAAAGGCUUUUUUUACAUGAGUCACUUGAGAAAACACAGCAUGAUCCAUUCAGAGGUAAAACUGUUUACAUGUCCAACAUGUGGCAAAGGCUUUAACCAGAAGUCUAAUUUAAGGACACAUUUGAGAACACAUGCAGAUGAAAAAAUGUUCACAUGUAAUCAAUGUGAUAAAGGAUUCAAUCACAAUGCAUCUCUACAGAUUCAUAUGAGAUCACAUACUGGUGAAAAACCUUUUGUUUGUAGUGUAUGCAAUAAAGGAUUUAGUCGAAAAAACACUCUUAAAAUACAUGAGACCACACAUACACCUGACAAACCUUAUGUAUGUACUACAUGUGGUAAAACAUUUGGGAGACGUUAUGUCUUACAGAGACAUGUACUAAUACAUGAGGGAGAAAAACCUCACAUAUGUCAAAGAUGUGGACGUGGAUUCAGUCAGAGCGGGGAUUUACAGAAACAUAUUAGAACACACACUGGAGAGAAACCAUAUGUAUGUACUAUAUGUGAACGAGGCUUUGCUCAAAAUGGUGACUUGACAAAGCACAUGAAAACACAUGUAGGAGAUAAAUCUCAUGUUUGUUCUAUUUGCAAGAGAGGAUUUGAUGAGCAUAAUGAAAUGCAAGAACAUAAAGAAAGUCAUUCAGACCAAUUAUUUUUUGCUUGUACUAGGUGUGGCAAGGAAUUCAGUCAAAUCAAAGAAUUAAAAAGUCAUAGGUUAUCACAGGCAUGCAAGACUUUUGAAGCUACAGUUAUAGAUGAUGAUGAUGAUGAUGAUGAUGAUGAUGAUGAUGAUGAUGAUGAUGAUGAUGAUGAAGAUGAUCAUGGUCAUGAUAAUGAUGAUAAAGAUAAAUAUGAAACAAUAAAAAGACAAAUCAGUGAUAAUUAUACAAGUAUUCAACAAGCCUCAAAUGAAAAGUUGUUGUUUGCUUGUGUUAAGUGUGGCAAGGAGUUCAGUCAAAUGGAAGACAUACAAGCACAUAAAAUGUCACAAGAAUGCAGUACUGAUCUAUCAGCCAUAACUCAUAACAGCAGCUGUGACACAUUUGAUGAUGCAAUAAAGCAAGAACCUAUUGAUAUAAUAGAUACGUCUUGUAAUACAUCAGAUAACUCAAUUGGAAAUAAUGAAAAAUUUAAUGAAAAUGAUCCUCAGAAUUAUGUCAAAAAAGGAAAAAACUCUUCAUUACAAGAAGAAGAGAAACAUGUUUGUGCUACUUGUGGAAUGAAAUUUAAUGAGGUAUCAAUGUUACAAGAUCAUUUGAAGCUACAUUCUGAGCUGGAAAAAUUAACAAGUUCAUAUGUAGCUGAGUCAGAAGGGCAAUCAAAUACAGAUGAAGCUGAAAAGCCAUUUAAAUGCCAUUUAUGUGAGAAGUCUUAUCAGGGGAAAAGUUCUCUACAGGCACAUAUCAGAUCCCAUACAGGAGAAAGACCUUUCUCAUGUCAGACAUGUGGCAAAAGUUUUCGACUAAAGAGAGAUUUACAUCGACAUGACCAGUCACACAGUGGUGAUCGACCAUUUGCAUGUACAGAAUGCAGCAAAAGAUUCCGCUGGAACUGGGACCUACAGAAACAUAUGCGAAUACAUAGUGGUGAGAAACCUUUCUCAUGUGCGAUUUGUGGCAAAUUUUUUAGACAAAAUAGUACACUUCAGGCACAUAUAAGGACUCAUACUGGAGAAAAACCCUACACAUGUACUACAUGCAGCAGAGGUUUCAGUCAGAGUUCAGACUUAACCAAGCACAUGAGAACUCAUACUGGUGAAAAAGCUUUCUUCUGUGAAAUGUGUGACAAAUCAUUUAGCUUAAGACACAACUUGCAGAAACAUAUGCAAAAACACAACAAGUAUAGACACAAAUAUAAAUCAGAUGCACAGGAGCUUGAGAAGACAGUUAAAAAAGAGGAACAAGUUGAUUAAUUUUGUACCAGUAUGAAAAUAUUAAAAAGCUUCAUAAAUGAUCAUUUUGAAUUAGCAUGUUCCCUGGACUUAGUGAAAUAACUUUUGUCUUUUAUAAAUGUAUACACAUGUAUGUUUAAAUACAUGUUUAUUUGUAAGAGUCAAAUCUAUGUCGGGCCUCAAUUUAAGUCCUUUCCUCAAAUAUGUGUCCUUUCCUCAGAUCUAUGUCCUGUGACGUCAUUAUACUCAAUUGCAAAUAUGUGGCCCUUUGUUUAUUCAAAUCUGUAUCCUAUUUAUAAGAUAGGCUUUAAGUAAUGUGGCUUGACUUGGGACUGUGAGGCACAAAUAGAAUGCAGUGGGAUUAUAGAACUACCCUUACCUAAUCUGGGACCUUUGUGUAACAACACAACAUAAUAACAAACAGUAAAAUCAGUUGGAAUGUGCUUGACAGGAGACAUAAGACACAAAUCUAUUUUACCAUAAAUUUGCUUCAAGACUUUGACACUGUGCAUUUAACAAACUCUAAAAAAGCAUUUCUGACUAAUGUGUCUUUAUUGAGAGAAAAAGGGUUUCUGACUGUUAUCACUAUUUAACUAUUUCCUUGAUUUAAAAAUAAUUUUUAAAAACAUUGUUAAUAAGGCUAAUUAAUAGCUAAAAGAUAACUUUUUUUUACAUAAUUUUAAUAAGUGUAAGCACCUUUUUAGAGGAGGUUAACAUGGUGUCUCAGAUUCCCGCAUCCCUCCCUUUUACUCCAGAUGAAAACUGGUCAAAGCAACUUGACCAGUAUUUCCCUAUUUUAUACCUGUUCCCGCUUCCCACCCCUCAUUCCCUUGUUCCCAUAUCCCCAUUGAGCACCUUUAUGUACAUAGUUUAACAUACAUGAUUUUUUCGAUGUCCUUAACUAAAUAUGAAAUCUUUGACAACAAAAAUAUUGCCUAGAAGACGUUUUGUUAUUUCUGAAGUCAACAUGACUUGUUGAAAAGGACACAGAUUUGAGAAAAGAAAGGACAUAGAUUUGUGACAUCUAUAUAUGAUGCAAUAAAGAAAAGAACACAUAUCUGAAACUGGACAUAGAUUUGAGUCUUACAUAUAUAUGAUCAUGCAUUACAGUAAUUGAUUUGUUUGGUGUCCACUUGUAUGACUAUGUUAUGGUCGCCAUUAUGAAAGGAAACUUUUUCUUACAGUUGUACAUGUAUAUAGUCCAAUGAACAGAUAUCAAUUAAUCAGACCUGUGUUAAUCAAAGUUGGAAUUGAAUACUGGUACUUUUAAAUUAACUUAAAAAUUAUUUCAAUCAAGCCACUUCCAAAACAGAAAAAACCCAAAAUAUAUAAUUAUUAUACACUCUUAUUAAUUUGUCAUUAUUAACCUUGUUUACUUUGUAUCACAUGCUACUUUAAGAGAGAUGACAUUCCUAAGAAAAAGUACUCUCUAAACAUUUUCAGGAUUAAACAUGAUGAAAAUGAAUUUUAUUUUUUUCAUACAUGUCAUAUUCAAGAGAAAUUAUGCACAGUACUUCAAAGACAUUACUAUAUUGAAAUAAGAUUUAGGGUAUUAAUGAAAGGAAUAGGGACAAUGAGGCUCAUAUUUGGCCCAAAUUAAAUUUUAAUUCCAAAAUCUUAAAAUUUGCCCUUACUUGGCUUAGGUAAAAUUUGUCCAGAAAAUGAAGACAACUUUAAUAUUUCCUUGUUUUGUAUCAACUUUUCAAUACAUUUUGCAUUUUUUUAUGCCCCCGUCGUAGCAGAGGAGGCAUUAAGGUUUAUCCUUGUCCGUCUGUACGCCAGUCCGUACGUCUGUACACCCUUACAUCCAUACGUCCCGAAAUUGGUUUCCAUUCUCUAACUUUAGUUUGCCUCAAACAAAUGCUAUGAAACUUAUACACAAUGCUUAUUACAACAAAACACAGAUCAAGUGUAAAUUUGGGUGACAUCACUUUUACCUUUCUAGAGUUAUGUCCCUUUACAAAUGGAAAAAUUGCUGAAUUUUUCGUUUCCGUUCUCUAACUUCUAGUUUUCCUUGAUACCAAAUGUUAUGAAUCUUAUACACAAUGCUUAUUACCAAAAAACUCAGAUCAAGUACGAAUUUGGGUAGCGUCACUUUUACCGUGCUUGAGUUAUGUCCCUUUAAAACGUUAUAUGCAAGCAGGCGCAUCAUCUGUGUCCAAUGGACACAUUCCCCAUUUAUUUUAAGGUGAGUUAAAUUUGUAUCUCAAUUGGGACUCUGUAUUUAUAUAUAUAUAUUAUAAGUUCAAAUCAGAAAAUUUAUAAUUGAGCAGAAUUAUACAUUGAAUCAGAUACAAAAGAAAUCUUUUGCUUUUUAAAAAAAUUAAACUGAGGACAAAAUGUUUUGUUUUUGCCAGAAUUUUUAGUUAUUUCGAUCUGGAUUUGGAAUUUAGAGGGAAACAACAUUAAACUUGAUGAAGUUUGGAAAGUUAUCCUGAAAAAUGUAAGGCUACAUUUUGGGAAACACACUUUCAGAAGCAUAUCUCAAAGUCUUCUCUUAAAUAAGCACAAAGAAGAAUUACACAAAUUCCCAAUUUAUCUGCCAAUUUUUAACCUCAAUUUUCUCGAAAACAAGCAGGGUAACCAAUGUUUUAUUUUUUGAUUUUUCAAAGAACUUAUCUCUAACUACAACAUAUCUUAAAAUCACAAUAAGCAACAUACAAUUUGAAACCUUAAUUCUUCCUCAUUUAAGGAAUGAUUUGAUAUUUGUUCUGGAUUUUUAAAUUAUUGAGUUAGAGCUAACGUCUCUAUGUAUUUACAUAUCCUAGGCUUUCAAAUAUUUGGGUUUGACUAUUCCUGAUGAAUUUAAAUCCAGAAAAGCGCUUAAUAUGCACCAAAUUUUAAUGUGUUAUUUUCUUUUUUACCAUGUAAUGUAUUUUCAGAUCUGCCAGGCAGUCUCUUUCGUAUCUGACUGAUGAUUUUUUGAAUUUUUAUUAUACCUGCUGAGCAUGAAAUUUUUUAUACGACCGCAAAAAUUGCGGUCGUAUAUUGGUAUGACAUUGUCGGCGUCGUCGUCCGAAGACAUAUUGGUUUUCGCACAAUAACUUUAGUUUAAGUGAAUGGAUCUCUAUGAAAUUUUACCAUAAGGUUCAAUACCACAAAAGGAAGGUUGGGAUUGAUUUUGGGGGUUAGGGUACCAACAGUUUAGGAAUAAGGGGCCAAAAAGGGGCCAACAACAAGCAUUUUUGUAGUUUCCGGACAAUAACUUGUGUGUGUUAGUGUAUGGAUCUCUCUUAAAUUGUACCACAAGGUUCAAUAUCACAAAGAGAAGGCUGGUAUUGAGUUUGGGGUAAUUGCUCUAGUUUUCUAGUUUCCAGACAAUGAUUUGUGUUAAAGUUUAUGGAACUCUCUGAAAUUGUACAUUUUUCCUGAAAAGAAAAUAAUCUUCAAAAUUUCGAGAAAAAAAAUUUGGGGGCGGGUUUCAAAUUUUUUUGGGAUUUCAAAUUUUUUGAAUAUUUCAAAUCUUUUGCAAUUUUUUUUUUAGGGUGGGGGUAUUUAUUUAUUUUUUUUGGAGGGGAGGUUCAUACUUUUUUCUUCCAAGAUUUUUCAAAAUUUCAAAGUUUUUCUAAAAAAAAAAUUAUUUCCCAAAAUUUUUUUGGUUUUUUUUCAAAAAAAUUUCCAUUUUUACAUAGAUUAUUUCUGAUUUAUAUAUAAAAGCAAAAAAUACUGAUAUGGCAGGAUAUACACACCAAACAGGGUUUGUAAAUUAUUAAAUAUAACAGAUUAACUAAGUCAUGUAAGUAUUGUGCAAAAAAAGUUAAAUCACAAAAAUACUGAACUCAGAGUAAAAUUCAAAACGGAAAGUCCCUAAUCAAAUGGCAAAAUCAAAAGCACCAACACAUCAAACGAAUGUACAACAGCACAGUAUUGCGCUAUAGCAAGAAAUCUUCAAUUGAAAAUAAAUACAAAUCUUUUAACCAAUUUAAAUGGGAUUAAUUUAAAGUCUUUAAUUUUUGGGGGUUCUAACCUUGACUUACUAUUUUGGAUAUUGGGCCCCAUUUUUGAAUUGGUCUAUAUUUAGGUCCAAAGGGUCCAAAAUUAAACUUUGUUUGAUUUCAUCAAAAACUGAAAUAUUACGGCUCUAUGAUAUGAUAAAUCUCAUUGUGCAUUUAGAUUUUUUUAUUUUUGGCCCUGUUUUCAAAUUAGUCCACAUUAAGGUUUGAAGGGUUCAAAAUUAAACUUUGUUUGAUUUCAACUAAAAUUAAAUUUUUGGUGUUUUUUAUAUGCUGAAUCUAACCAUGUUGUUAGACUUUGGAUAUCAGACCAUACUAGGUAAAUUAAAUGUUCCAUUUCAAAUUUUUAAGAUCUUUGACCACAUUCAUUUUGUGUCAGAAACCUUUGUGAAGACCAGUAAUGGCGGACAAAUAGCGAUAAGGUGUAUGGUCUUGCAAUGUAUUAAGUUGCAGAAUUUCAAAGGGUUUUAAUUAAUGAUAAAAAGUUUUUCUUAUAUUAACAAAAAAUAGUUUAUAAAAUUCAUAUUGCAUGUAUAGUCUUGAUAUUUGUAUUUAAAUUAUUAAAUUCUUACUUUGUACAUUGAAUAUGCAUGUUUACUGAACAUGUUGAAGAUGUGAUAAUGUAAAAUGAACCUUGAAGACAUUUUUUUCUUUUAUCUUUUUUUUACAUUUCAAAAGAUUUGUUAGAGUUGUAGUAUAUGAAAGACUCUAAGCAUGUUUAGAUCUUAUAUACACAACUACACAUGUAUAAGUGAAGAGAAUUUAUGCAUUUUAAUUUGAUUAUAUAUAUCUUAAUAGCUA